rnacentral:rRNA from 1 species
GUGGGGAAUAUUGGGCAAUGGGGGAAACCCUGACCCAGCAACGCCGCGUGAAGGAAGAAGGUUUUCGGAUCGUAAACUUCUAUCCUUGGUGAAGAUAAUGACGGUAGCCAAGAAGGAAGCCCCGGCUAACUACGUGCCAGCAGCCGCGGUAAUACGUAGGGGGCAAGCGUUGUCCGGAAUGAUUGGGCGUAAAGGGCGCGUAGGCGGCCUGGUAAGUCUGGAGUGAAAGUCAUGCUUUUAAGGUGGGAAUUGCUUUGGAUACUGUCGGGCUUGAGUGCAGGGGAGGUAAGCGGAAUUCCCGGUGUAGCGGUGAAAUGCGUAGAGAUCGGGAGGAACACCAGUGGCGAAGGCGGCUUACUGGACUGUAACUGACGCUGAGGCGCGAAAGUGUGGGGAGCAAACAGGAUUAGAAACCCUUGUAGUCC